rnacentral:rRNA from 1 species
GCGGAUUGUGGUCGUGGUUGGGACUGAGGUGCCUACAACGUGCUUUGGAGUGUUCCGGGUUCUCACGUGGUGUGCUGUUUGUAUAGCUUGCUAUGCUUGUGGUGUUCACCGUUUGAUUGAGUCUGGUUUGUGCUUCUUGCCGUUCGGGACUUUGACGAAAUGGAGCGAUUCGGCCCGUCUUGAAACACGGACCAAGGAGUCUAACAUGUGUGCAAGUGUUAGGGUUGGAAACCCGAGCGCGCAAUGAAAGUAAAGGUCUGAGGUAGGAAACCUUUCUUCUGAGAGGUGGCACUAUCGACCGAUCCCGAACCUUCGUGGUGAAAGAUUUGAGUAUGAGCACAUAUGUUGGUACCCGAAAGAUGGUGAACUAUGCCUGAGUAGGGUGAAGCCAGGGGAAACUCUGGUGGAAGCUCGUAGCGAUUCUGACGUGCAAAUCGAUCGUCAAACUUGGGUAUAGGGGCGAAAGACUAAUCGAACCAUCUAGUAGCUGGUUCCCUCCGAAAUUUCCCUCAGGAUAGCAGCAACUUAUUUACGAUAGUUUUAUGAGGUAAAGCGAAUGAUUAGAGGAUUGUGGGAAGCAACUUUCUGCACCUAUUCUCAAACUUUAAAUCUGUAAGACCUGCAGGUUUCUUAAUUGAACUUGUGGAUGUGAAUAUCAAGUUGCUAGUGGGCCAUACCGGGUAAGCUGGUCUGGCGAUGCGGGAUGAUCCGAACGCGAAGUUAAAGUGCCAAAAUACCCGCUCACCUAGAUCCCAUAAAAGGUGUUGGUUCAUCUAG